AGCACUACAACGGGUGGAGCCUGCGGUUUAAUUGGACUCAACGCCGGGAAGGCUCACCGGAUAAGACAGCGGAAUGAUAGCCGGGCUGAAGACUCUGCUUGACUAGCUGAGAGGAGGUGCAUGGCCGUCGUCAGUUCGUACUGUGAAGCAUCCUGUUAAGUCAGGCAACGAGCGAGACCCACGCCAACAGUUGCCAGCAUGUCCUCCGGGAUGGUGGGGACACUGUUGGGACCGCCUCUGCUAAAGAGGAGGAAGGAAUGGGCAACGGUAGGUCAGCAUGCCCCGAAUUAUCCGGGCUACACGCGGGCUACAAUGGUCAGGACAAUGGGCAUCAACACCGAAAGGUGAAGGCAAUCUCUUAAACCUGUCCUUAGUUCGGAUUGUGGGCUGCAACUCGCCCACAUGAAGCUGGAAUCUGUAGUAAUCGCGUCUCAAAAUGGCGCGGUGAAUAUGUCCCUGCUCCUU
rnacentral:rRNA from 1 species